GUCAGCGGGCGCCGGCGCUCAGCAGCCUGGUGUCUGACCCCCGCCCGCCCUCCGGAGCAGCUCAGUAGCAUCAGCUGCUGUCACCUCAUUUUUUAACAAAAUUAUCUGAUGACUGGCUGCCUUUCUGGGCAUUUUCUGCUUCUGUUUCCGUUUUAGCACCUCCGAUUCCUUGCCGGCGCCUGCCUCGCUGGGCUGGAUGUGAGGUGUGGGUGUAAGACACGCUAUCGCUUUCUUCCAUCUCAGAAGGCUGAGAGAGUCCCAGCAGACCCGAGCUGGGGCAUGAUCACCUUGAUAAAGUAGGAUCUACUUUGGGGCACCAGCGUUCCUGCAGAGAUGGCUGGCUCGUUGUUGGGGAGCAGGAAGAGCAUGAGGCUGGGCCAUCUCACGGGCCAGAAAGAGAAGAGGAGCGGAAAACACAGAGAAGAGACGGCAGAGGGACAAGCCUGAGAAGAGGCUGCGAUGGCCACAUCUGAGGCCGGAGUGGGUUAAGCACAGAAUAAAAUUCUCCUCCUCCUGGCACUCUAUUUGCUCAGCCAUCUUCCUGCUGCGCCCUCCUCUGGGGGGCGGCCUGCGCCCCUGUGCUGAUGGGGCUUCGGUGCACGCGCAGGGGGAGAUGGACGACGGGAACAAACCGCGGCUGGGCUUGCAGAUAACAGAUUACAAAGUGUAGUUGGUGCAUCUGCUGAGAUAUAAUAAUGGUAAUAAUUAGGCUAGAAAUAAUUUGUGUAGCAAAUAAUUCAUUUGCUAUUCAGCAUAACCAUAUGACACAGUUGACAUUAUUGUCCUCACUUACCAAUGAGGUAACAGGCAGAAAAAGGCUGAGAGAUAGAUCAAGGUCAUAUCUCUGGGGAGUAGUAGAUAGAAUAUGUAAAUAUUGUAAAAAAAAAAAAAA